rnacentral:rRNA from 1 species
AUAUAAUGAGUUAAAUAAAUUUUGAAAAUUAUUUGAUAUUAUUAAUAAAAAAAAUAUUUAUAUAAUUAUUAGAUGAAGUAUUAAUUAGAAAAAUUUAUUUUAUUAUAAUUUGUAAAAUAUAAUUUAAAUUAAAUAAAAAUAAAAAUUAAUUUUUUGUUCCUUUUGUAUAAGGAUAAAUUAAUUUAAUUUAAUUUAUAUUAAUAUUUCGAAAUAUUAAGAGAUAAAAUUUUAUUAUAGUUAAUAUUGAAUUAUUAUUAUAAAUAAAAUUUUUGUAAUUAAAUGUUAAUCGAUUAAUAUAUAUCUAAUUUUUUAAGAAAUAAAUUUAAUUUAGAUUUUAAUUUAAUUAUUUAUUUUAAUUUAAUAAGUAAUUUAUUAAAAUUAAUAGUAAAUGAGAUAAAUUUUUUAUUAUUAUUAAAAUUUUUAAAUAGAUUAAUUAAAUUUAUUAUUAUUAUUAUUAUUUAUUUUAAUAAAAUUUUAUAUUUAAAAUUUAUUAAAUAAUUAUUUUAUAAAAAAUUUAAUUAUUAUAUUAAAAUAAAAUUUUUAAUUAAAAAAAAUUUUUAAUAAUGAUUUAAUUAGUAAAUUAUUUGAAUAUAUAUAUAUAUAUAUAUAUAUAUUAAAUAUAAUUAUUAAUAAUUAAGCAAUAUUUAUUUUCACUUGUUUAACAAAAACAUGGUUUUAAGUAAAUAAUUUAAGAUUUAAUCUGUCCAAUGAUUAAUAUAUUAAAUUAAAUGACUGCAGUAUAUUAACUGUGCUAAGGUAGCAUAAUAAAUAGUUUUUUAAUUGAAAACUGGAAUGAAUGAUUGAAUGAAAAAUAAACUUUUUUAUAAUUAUUUAAUUGAAUUUAAUUUUAAAGUAAAAAAUCUUUAAUUUAUUUAAAAGACGAUAAGACCCUAUAAAAUUUAAUAAUUAUUUUAGUAAAAUAGAAUAUAUAUAUAUAUAUAUAUAUAUAUAUAUAUAUAUAUACACACAUUAAAAUGAUUAUUUUAUUGGGAUGAUAUUAAAAUUUAAUUAACUUUUAGUUUAAUUUAAAUUAAAUAAAAUAUUUUAUGAAUAAUAUUUAAAUUAUUUUAAAAUAAAUUACUUUAGGGAUAACAGCAUAAUUUUUUUGGUAAGAUCAAAUUUAUAAAAAAGAUUAUGACCUCGAUGUUGAAUUAAAAUUAAAUAUUAUUGUAGAUAAUAAUAAUUUUAGUCUGUUCGACUAUUAAAAUUUUACAUGAUUUGAGUUCAAAUCGGCGUGAGCCAGAUUGGUUUCUAUCUUUAAUAGUAUUAUAAAAUUUUUGUACGAAAGGACUAAAUUUUAAAUUUUUAAUUUAA